UACGUAGGGGGCAAGCGUUGUCCGGAUUUAUUGGGCGUAAAGAGCUCGUAGGUGGUUCGGUAAGUCGGAUGUGAAAUCUCCAGGCUCAACCUGGAGGGGUCAUUCGAUACUGCCGUGACUAGAGUUCGGUAGGGGAGUGUGGAAUUCCUGGUGGAGCGGUGAAAUGCGCAGAUACCAGGAGGAACACCCGUAGCGAAGGCGGCACUCUGGGCCGAUACUGACACUGAGGAGCGAAAGCGUGGGGAGCGAACAGG
rnacentral:rRNA from 1 species